CUCGAAGCCCCGCUAGCCCCUUUCGGGCUGGUAGUUUGCCGGGGAGCUCAUGGACUGUAACAUCCCAAAUUUUUCAAAUUCGGAUGUUCGCACCUUUACAUUUCUUAUGCAUAUCACCUUGAUCAUAUCUUAAAAUAUUGGUGUUCGUUAUGAUGCAUUAUUGAAAGUGUUUGAAAUGGUGUUUUGGAAUGUGAUAGGUUGAUAGAAAUUGAAUUGAGAAUUUUCUAGAGUCUAAAAACGCAUUUUAAAAUUUUAUUUGGGUUUAUUUAAAGCUUAGAAACAUGAAAACUAUUUUUACAAACUUAUUUUUGAGUGGGAAUAAUUUUCCUGGACUCUAAAUGAAAUAUAUUAUUUUACAUAAUUUUUGGGAAUUUUUCUGAAGCCAUUUGAUAUUUUAAAUGAUUUAAAUGGAAUUUCGGGUGAAUUAUAGAUCCUGAAAAGUAAUUUUUAUCUUUUUCCUUUUUUUCUUUUUCUUUUUCUCUCAAAAUACGCUUUCUCCGCACGGAAGCGUAUUCUCAGGAGAUACGCUUUCAAUCUCUUAUCUCUCUCACUGACAGGUGGGGUCCACCUGUCAUCCGUCGCCUCCGCCGUCUCCAACCGCCGCCGGCGCCGCGCCUGGCCGCUCCCCGCCGCCACCCGCGCCCGCCUGCCCGCUCGGCCUCGCCGACCCCGCUGACGGCCGCAUCGCCCGCGCCGACCGCUCGCACCGCCCGCCC
rnacentral:lncRNA from 1 species